rnacentral:rRNA from 1 species
UACAGGGGGUGCAAAGCGUUGCUCGGAAUCAUUGGGCGUAAAGCGCACGUAGGCGGUCUGUUAUGUUCGGAUGUGAAAGCCCUUGGCUCAAACCUGAGGAAGUGCAUCGAAACUGGCAGGCUAGAGUACUAAAGAGGAUCGCGGAAUUCCCGGUGUAGGAGGUGAAAUUCGUAGAUAUCGGGAAGGAACACCAGUGGCGAAGGCGACUACCUGGCCUGUUUCUUGACGCUGAGGCGCGAAAGCUAGGGGAGCAAACGGG